CGAGCCGGGCGGACGGCCGCGUGGAGGUCCCUGUGGAUCUCCCCGAGGAACGUCCGGGCUCCACAGGGCAGGGUGGUGGCUAACGGCCACCCGGGGUGACCCGCGGGACAGUGCCACAGAAAGCAAACCGCCGAGAGCUCCGGCUUUCGGUAAGGGUGAAACGGUGGUGUAAGAGACCACCAGCGCCUGAGGUGACUCAGGCGGCUAGGUAAACCCCACCCGGAGCAAGGUCAAGAGGAGCCGCUUGGCGACAGGCGGCUCUGCGCGGACGUUCGAGGGCUGCUCGCCCGAGUCCGCGGGUAGACCGCACGAGGCCGGCGGCAACGCCGGCCCUAGAUGGAUGGCCGUCGCCGGAGGGUUCGCAAGACCCCUCCGGAACAGAACCCGGCGUAUAGCCCUGCUCGUCUG
rnacentral:RNase_P_RNA from 1 species